rnacentral:rRNA from 1 species
GAUGAACGCUGGCGGCGUGCCUAAUACAUGCAAGUCGAGCGAACAGACGAGGAGCUUGCUCCUCUGACGUUAGCGGCGGACGGGAGAGUAACACGUGGAUAACCUACCUAUAAGACUGGGAUAACUUCGGGAAAACGGAGCUAAUACCGGAUAAUAUAUUGAACCGUAUGGUUCAAUAGUGAAAGACGGUUUUGCUGUCACUUAUAGAUGGAUCCGCGCCGCAUUAGCUAGUUGGUAAGGUAACGGCUUACCAAGGCAACGAUGCGUAGCCGACCUGAGAGGGUGAUCGGCCACACGGGAACUGAGACACGGUCCAGACUCCUACGGGAGGCAGCAGUAGGGAAUCUUCCGCAAUGGGCGAAAGCUUGACGGAGCAACGCCGCGUGAGUGAUGAAGGUCUUCGGAUCUUAAAACUCUGUUAUUAGGGAAGAACAAAUGUGUAAGUAACUAUGCACGUCUUGACGGUACCUAAUCAGAAAGCCACGGCUAACUACGUG